UACGUAGGGGGCAAGCGUUGUCCGGAAUCAUUGGGCGUAAAGAGCUCGUAGGCGGCUCAGUAAGUCGGGUGUGAAACCUCCAGGCUCAACCUGGAGACGCCACCCGAUACUGCUGUGGCUAGAGUCCAGUAGGGGAGCGUGGAAUUCCUGGUGUGAGCGGUGAAAUGCGCAGAUAUCAGGAGGAACACCGGUGGCGAAGGCGGGUUGCUGGGCCGACACGUGACGCUGAGGCGCGAAAGCCAGGGGAGCGAACGGGA
rnacentral:rRNA from 1 species